GGACAGAUGGCCGAGCGGUUAAGGCGCUGUGUUCAGGUCUUUAGUGUCCACUUUUGACAUUCGCAGUCUCGCAAGAGGCGUGGGUUCGAAUCCCACUCUGUUCA